UACGUAGGUGUCAAGCGUUGUCCGGAUUUAUUGGGCGUAAAGCGCCCGCAGGCGGCUUGCCAAGUUCGAUGUGAAAUCUCCCGGCUCAACUGGGAGGGUGCAUCGAAAACUGGCAGGCUUGAGGCAGGGAGAGGGAAGCGGAAUUCCCGGUGUAGUGGUGAAAUGCGUAGAUAUCGGGAGGAACACCAGUGGCGAAGGCGGCUUCCUGGCCUGUUCUUGACGCUGAGGCGCGAAAGCUAGGGGAGCAAACGGG
rnacentral:rRNA from 1 species